GCGUUCGUAGCUCAGUGGAUAGAGCAUCGGUUUCCGGUACCGUGAGUCGCAGGUUCGAAUCCUGUCGAGCGCG
rnacentral:tRNA from 1 species